rnacentral:rRNA from 1 species
UAUCCGUCGCGGGCGUAGGAAAUUUGAGAGGAGCUGUCCUUAGUACGAGAGGACCGGGAUGGACUGACCUCUGGUGCACCAGUUGUUCCGCCAGGAGCACAGCUGGGUAGCUAAGUCGGGAAGGGAUAAACGCUGAAAGCAUCUAAGCGUGAAGCCCACCUCAAGAUGAGAUUUCCCAUAGCAUAAGCUAGUAAGACCCCUUGAAGAACACGAGGUUGAUAGGUCAGAGGUGUAAGUGCAGUAAUGUAUGUAGCUGACUGAUACUAAUAGGUCGAGGGCUUGACCAA